ACGCACGCUGGCGGCGUGCUUAACACCUGCCAGUCGCACGGAAAGGCCCUGCUUGCAGGGUACUCGAGUGGCGAACGGGUGAGUAACACGUGGGUGAUCUGCCCUGCACUUCGGGAUAAGCCUGGGGAACUGGGUCUACUACCGGCUAGGAGCCAUUUUUAGUGUGAUGGUUGGAUAGUUUUUUCGGUGUAGGAUGAGCUCGGGGCCUCUCAGCUUGUUGGUGGGGUAAUGGCCUACCAAGGCGGCGACGGGUAGCCGGGCUGGGAGGGUGGACGGCCACAAUUGGGCUGAGAAACGGGCCAGACUCCUACGGGGAGCAAGAGUGGGGAAUAUUGGACAAUGGGCGGAAGCCUGAUGCAACGACGCCGCGGGGGGGAUGACGGCCUUCGGGUUGUAAACUCGUUUCGCUAGGGACGAAGCUUUGUGUGACGGUACCUGGAAAAGAAGCACCGGCUAACUACGUG
rnacentral:rRNA from 1 species